rnacentral:rRNA from 1 species
AUUGAACGCUGGCGGCGUGCCUAACACAUGCAAGUCGAGCGGUAACAGGUGUAGCAAUACAUGCUGACGAGCGGCGGACGGGUGAGUAAACGCUUGGGAAUCUGCCUAUUAGUGGGGGACAACCCGGGGAAACGUCGGGCGUAAUACCGCAUACGCACUACGGUGGAAAGCCGGGGACCGCAAGGCCUGGCGCUAACAGAUGAGCCCAAGUCGGAUUAGCUAGUUGGUAGGGUAACGGCCUACCAAGGCGACGAUCCGUAACUGGUCUGAGAGGACGACCAGUCACACCGGAACUGAGACACGGUCCGGACUCCUACGGGAGGCAGCAGUGGGGAAUAUUGG